rnacentral:rRNA from 1 species
GAUGAACGCUGGCGGCGUGCCUAAUACAUGCAAGUCGAGCGAACGGACGAGAAGCUUGCUUUUCUGAUGUUAGCGGCGGACGGGUGAGUAACACGUGGAUAACCUACCUAUAAGACUGGGAUAACUUCGGGAAACCGGAGCUAAUACCGGAUAAUAUUUUGAACCGCAUGGUUCAAAAGUGAAAGACGGUCUUGCUGUCACUUAUAGAUGGAUCCGCGCUGCAUUAGCUAGUUGGUAAGGUAACGGCUUACCAAGGCAACGAUGCAUAGCCGACCUGAGAGGGUGAUCGGCCACACUGGAACUGAGACACGGUCCAGACUCCUAGGGGAGGCAGAAGUAGGGAAUCUGCCGCAAUGGGCGAAAGCCUGACGGAGCAACGCCGCGUGAGUGAUGAAGGUCUUCGGAUCGUAAAACUCUGUUAUUAGGGAAGAACAUAUGUGUAAGUAACUGUGCACAUCUUGACGGUACCUAAGCAGAAAGCCACGGCUAACUACGU